ACUGGAGGAAGGUGGGGAUGACGUCAAGUCAUCAUGGCCCUUACGAGUAGGGCUACACACGUGCUACAAUGGCAUAUACAAAGAGAAGCGACCUCGCGAGAGCAAGCGGACCUCAUAAAGUAUGUCGUAGUCCG
rnacentral:rRNA from 1 species